rnacentral:rRNA from 1 species
GACGAACGCUGGCGGCGUGCUUAACACAUGCAAGUCGAACGGAAAGGCCCUGCUUUUGUGGGGUGCUCGAGUGGCGAACGGGUGAGUAACACGUGAGUAACCUGCCCUUGACUUUGGGAUAACUUCAGGAAACUGGGGCUAAUACCGGAUAGGAGCUCCUGCUGCAUGGUGGGGGUUGGAAAGUUUCGGCGGUUGGGGAUGGACUCGCGGCUCAUCAGCUUGUUGGUGGGGUAGUGGCUUACCAAGGCUUUGACGGGUAGCCGGCCUGAGAGGGUGACCGGCCACAUUGGGACUGCGGUACGGCCCAGACUCCUACGGGAGGCAGCAGUGGAGAAUAUUGCACAAUGGGCGGAAGCCUGAUGCAGCAACGCCGCGUGCGGGAUGACGGCCUUCGGGUUGUAAACCGCUUUCGCCUGUGACGAAGCGUGAGUGACGGUAAUGGGUAAAGAAGCACCGGCUAACUACGUG